UUGCUGCUACCAGUGGCUGUUCCUGUAAAUUGUAAUGGAUCUAUAAGUCACAUUGAAACGCCAGGGCUGCUUUUCAGUCAUGCUCACCAUACUUCCUUUUCCUGAAGCAAGUAUUCAUGAAGAUUUUCACCUACUCUUUGCAGCCAUUGAAUCUCCAGCUCACAGGAAAGCCACUCUGAAUGAGUCGUGACAAAAAUGUGGCAGGGGAGAGAGCUGGCAGUGAAAAACAGAAAUUCUUGAAAACAAAUCUAAAAUGGAUUAUACAGUGGGAUGGCUAUGGCAAAAAAAAUACAGCAACCAUCAUGCUAAGCAAUCUUAAGAAAUGAAGCCUAUGUUCAAGUUCUUGCCUCAGAUCAAAAAGAAGAAAGAUAUAAGCCUGAAGCCCAGGUAAUGAAUCUUUCCUAAAAUCAGCCUGUGUGGAACAAGUUAACUUAGGUGAAGCUGAGUUCAUCAGGAUCUGCUCGGUAAAAUUAUAAUAUCACAAAAUGGUUGAGGCUGAAAUGGACCUCUGGAGGUCAUUGGCCCAAUCCCUCUUUUCAUGGCCACCUGGAGCUGAUUGUCAACAACCAUGUCCAUACCACUUUUCAGUGUCUCCAAGGAUGGUGACUGCACAACCUCCCUGAGAACCUGUGCCAGUGCUCAGUAACCCUCACCAUGAAAAAGUGUUUCCUGAUGUCCUGAGGAAACCUCCUGUCCAUUGCCAUUACCUCUGGUCCUGUCACUGGGCACCACUGAAGACGCUUCCUGUCCUCUUUGACAUUCUGUUCAGGUAUUUAUACACAUUAAUGGGAUCCUCCUGAGCUUUCUCUUCUCCAGACUGAACAGUAACUGCUCUCUCAGCCUUUCCUCUUCAAAGAGAUGCUUCAGUCCUUUCACCAUCUUUGUGGCCCUUUGCAGGACCAUUGGGUAGCAGAGUGACUUCUUUGCAAGGCCCCUCAAUAAUCUUUGAAUAAUCAUGACAAUCAGGACAAGUAUCCAAGGAGGAAAGAAGAUGUCACUUCUAAAUAAAAAGAAGGACCUAAGGAACUCCAAGCCUGUGAACCUCACCUCAGUUCCUGGAAAGAUGAUGGAGUAGCUAAUUCUGGAAACCAUUUCCAGACACAUGAAAAACAAGAUAAAACCUUGAUCACUAGACUGGGGAUAAUUUCACUUUGACAGGGCUAAAUUGAGUUUUCUACUUGCAAGGGAAAGCCUGAUUUUAAUAAGAGAAGGAAGAUUGGAAAUCUGUUGUGAAACAGGAUCCAAGGUUUGGAGGCCUAUAACAACAUCUAGGCAACCACAGAGAGGCAUUGCUUCCCUACAAGGUAUAUUUUCUUGAGACCAUUUUCCUUAGGUUCUCCAAGAAGUAUCUAGCCAAGUGGGCUGUGAAAGACUUCUGCAUUGUUCCUGGGUCUUGACACUUCUUGUGUGGCAGUCAGUCUUGGGAGUUGAUCAUGUGAAUUCAGCUCCUAUUCUUCAGUGCCCAGUUCAAAGGGACAUUGUUAGUGCUUAUCCCUAUGCAAGAAUGAUAAUGACAGCUGUAGUGGUCCAUAACUGACCAAAGAAUCUGCUUCAUACAGCACCUGAGUUGAAGGGAUUAGUGCUAUCUCAGAUGCCUUUUGAUUUCAAAAGAUAGGGCCAAGAGUCCCUAAAAGGUACAGUUCUCUUCCACAUCUGGGUAUAGAGAUUUGGAUGAAACAUGUACUUGUGACACUGAGUUGCAGACCAGACUAGUGCUCUGGAUAAUGAAGGGAAGCACUGGCUGUGAAGAAUUUCCUGACAGGGUUUUAUACUAGAAAUGUACAGGCAAUUGGUGUGUGCCAGAUGCUCAGAUAGAGUGCCUUAUGGACCUUAAUUACAGCAUGAGAAUUUAGGCUUCAAAAAGACUAAGCUACUUAGAACUUGGAAAAGACUUAAAUGAUGUGGCUAUUAGCUUCUUCUAGGCACUGAACCUACUACACUGAGUUCCAGUGUUAGAGAAAUCAAAAUUACCAUGACUUUGGAUUCCUGUAGGCAGCAUCAUAAGGCAUACAAUUAAAUUUAAUUACUAUAUGAAAUUUUAAACAAGAAAAUAGUAAUUUCUGUUUCUUCGAUCCAAAAAGCAUCCUAUAACUGCAAAAAAGAAAGGACAGAGAUGAACAAUAAAAGUGAUCAGAGGUAUGGAAAUGCUUCUAUACAUUGAAAAUUAUACAGUAGGUCAGGGGGCUGCAUUAUGGGAAAGAUAAGUGAUUAGGA